UUGGUGAGGUAACGGCUCACCAAGGCAACGAUGCAUAGCCGACCUGAGAGGGUGAUCGGCCACACUGGGACUGAGACACGGCCCAGACUCCUACGGGAGGCAGCAGUAGGGAAUCUUCCGCAAUGGACGAAAGUCUGACGGAGCAACGCCGCGUGAGUGAUGAAGGCUUUCGGGUCGUAAAACUCUGUUGUUAGGGAAGAACAAGUACRAGAGUAACUGCUYGUACCUUGACGGUACCUAACCAGAAAGCCACGGCUAACUACGUGCCAGCAGCCGCGGUAAUACGUAGGUGGCAAGCGUUAUCCGGAAUUAUUGGGCGUAAAGCGCGCGCAGGCGGUUUCUUAAGUCUGAUGUGAAAGCCCACGGCUCAACCGUGGAGGGUCAUUGGAAACUGGGGAACUUGAGUGCAGAAGAGAAAAGCGGAAUUCCACGUGUAGCGGUGAAAUGCGUAGAGAUGUGGAGGAACACCAGGUGGCGAAGGCGGCUUUUUGGUCUGUAACUGACGCUGAGGCG
rnacentral:rRNA from 1 species